rnacentral:rRNA from 1 species
AAGAGAAGCACUCGUGCGCCUUAUUUACAUUAAGGAGGAGGCCCAUGCCCUCUUUAAAAUCCAUCUAUUUUAAUUAUUAAGAAACUAAAUUUAAACUCAACUUAAGCUAAGUACUGUAAAGGAAUAAAACAUUAUUAAGAUAAAGAACCAUUACUACCUUUUGUAUCAGGGGGGUUUAAAAUCUGCUAUAAGAGCUAUCCCGAAUUAAACAGAGCUAUUAUUUUAAUACCCUUUUAUGUGGCAACAUGGUGUCUAAUUCAAUAAUAGGAGAGAUACUCUAAACGCUGUUUCAUACCUGGUUGGGUGUGAAAUUACUCUAAGUAAGAUCAUUAAUUUGCCAAUUGAUAAAGUUAAUUUAAAAAGGCUAACCUUUUUUUAUAUAAUGAGGUUCUUUAUUUUUCAAACUGUAGGGCUAAUAACUCCUCCCAAGUUAAAUAAUUGUCCUCUUAGGCCACAUCACUCUAACUCCAACUGCCAGAGAAAGAAAAUAAUAAAUCCAUUAGUAUACCCAACUACCACUCAACAGAAAAUUAUAUUUACCCUACUUACUAAAUAUGUCUAGGAACUCGGCAAAUCAAUUCCUCGCCUGUUUAACAAAAACAACGCCUGCUACUUAAACAACAGGUAGAAUCUGCCCAAUGAUCCAUUUAAUGGCCGCAGUAUCCUGACUGUGCUAAGGUAGCAUAAUAAUUUGCCUCGUAAUUGGAGGCUAGAAUGAAGGAUCUGACGAAGGAAACCCUGUCUUGACAUUUGAUCUAAAAUUUUAUGUUUAAGUAAAAAAGCUUAAAUCAAGCGAAGGGACGACAAGACCCUAAAAGCUUUUUUUAUUGACGUAAAUCUGAUAAAUUCACCUAAAGGUAACUGUUAAUAAUUUAGCUGGGGCGGCUGUAAUUAAACUUACACAAAUAAUAUACUCACAUAUUUAAUGACACUAAUUAACUUCUCUAGAAACCUAAAAUAAAGUUACUUUAGGGAUAACAGUCGCAAUAUCCCAAUAGAGCCCCUAUCGACUGGGAUGAUUGCGACCUCGAUGUUGAAUUGAGAACCUUCCUGAAGCAGUAACUUCAGGGAAAGGGAGUCUGUUCGACUCUUAACCUCUCACAUGAUUUGAGUUCAGACCGGCGUAAGCCAGGUUAGUUUCUAUCUUUCGCUUCAAGAAUUUUCUACAUUGUACGAAAGGACCUGUAGAAAAAAAUAAUUUUAGAGACUUGAAUUAUAUUAUUCUGAAUUUCGU